rnacentral:rRNA from 1 species
AGUGAACGCUGGCGGUAGGCCUAACACAUGCAAGUCGAACGGCAGCACAGUAAGAGCUUGCUCUUACGGGUGGCGAGUGGCGGACGGGUGAGGAAUACAUCGGAAUCUACUUUUUCGUGGGGGAUAACGUAGGGAAACUUACGCUAAUACCGCAUACGACCUACGGGUGAAAGCAGGGGAUCUUCGGACCUUGCGCGAUUGAAUGAGCCGAUGUCGGAUUAGCUAGUUGGCGGGGUAAAGGCCCACCAAGGCGACGAUCCGUAGCUGGUCUGAGAGGAUGAACAGCCACAAUGGAAAUGGGAAAAGGGCCAAAAUCCCAAGGGAGGCAGGAGGGGGGAAUAAUGGACAAAGGGGGGAAGCCUGAUCCAGCCAAAACGGGGGGUGGAGAAGGCCUUCGGGGUGGAAAGCCCUUUUGGUGGGAAAGAAAAGCAGCAGGUUAAAAACCCGCUGGUCUGGAGGUACCCAAAGAAUAAGCACCGGCUAACUUCGCG